CUUCAUAACCAUUUUCUUUUUUUAGAUUCCAUAUAUAUGUGUUAGCAUACGGUAUUUGUUUUCCUCUUUCUGACUUCACUUUAUAUGACAGACUCUAGGUCCAUCCACCUCACUACAAGUAACUCAAUUUCGUUUCUUUUUAUGGCUGAGUAAUAUUCCAUUGUAUAUAUGUGCCACAUCUUCUUUAUCCAUUCAUCUCUCGAUGGACACUUAGGUUGCUUCCAUGUGCUGGCUAUUGUAAAUAGAGCUGCAGUGAACAUUGUGGUACAUGACUCUUUUUGAAUUAUGGUUUUCUCAGGGUACUUGCCCAGUAGUGGGAUUGCUGCGUCAUAUGGUAGUUCUAUUUUUAGUUUUUUAAGGAACCUCCAUACUGUUCUCCAUAAUGGCUGUAUGGAAUUUACAUUUCCACCAACAGUGCAACAGGGUUCCCUUUUCUCCACACCCUCUCCACCAUUUAUUGUUUGUAGAUUUUUUGGUGAUGGCCAUUCUGACUGGUGUGAGGUGAUACCUCAAUGGAGUUUUGAUUUGCAUUUCUGUAAUGAUUAGUGAUGUUGAGCAAUGUAUUUGUUGGCAAUCUGUAUAUCUUCUUCAUGGAAAUGUCUAUUUAGGUGUUCUGCCACUUUUGGAUUGGGUGGUUUGUUUUUUUGAUAUUGAGCUGCAUGAGCUGCUUAUAAAUUUUGGAGAUUAAUCCUUUGUCAGUUGCUUCAUUUGCAAAUACUUUCUCCCAUUCUGUGGGUUGUCUUUUCAUCUUCUUUAUGGUUUCCUUUGCUGUGCAAAAGCUUUUAAGUUUCAUUAGGUCCCAUUUGUUUAUUUUUGUUUUUAUUUCCAUUACUCUAGGAGGUGGAUCAAAAAAGAUCUUGCAGUGAUUUAUGUCAAAGAGUGUUCUUCCUAUGUUUUCCUCUAAGAGUUUUACAGUGUCUGGUCUUACAUUUCGGUCUCAAAUCCAUUUUGAGUUUAUUUUUGUGUAUGGUGUUAGGGAGUGUUCUAAUUUCAUUCUUUUACAUGUAGCUGUCCAGUUUUCCCAGCACCACUUAUUGAAGAGACUGUCUUUUCUCCAUUGUAUAUCUUUGCCUCCUUUGUCAUAGAUUAGUUGACCAUAGGUGCGUGGGUUUAUCUCUGGGCUUUCUAUCUUGUUCCAUUGAUCUAUGUUUCUGUUUUUGUGCCAGUACCAUAUUGUCUUGAUUACUGUAGCUUUGUAGUAUAGUCUGAAGUCAUACUACAAAGCUGGAGUCUGAUUCCUCCAGCUCCUUUUUUUCCUUCAAGACUGCUUUGGCUAUUUGGGGUCUUUUGUGUCUCCAUACAAAUUUUAAGAUGACUUGUUCUAGUUACGUAAAAAAUGCCAUUGGUAAUUUGAUAGGGAUUGCAUUGAAUCUGUGGAUUGCUUUGGGUAGUAUAGUCAUUUUCACAAUAUUGAUUCUUCCAAUCCAAGAACAUGGUAUAUCUCUCCAUCUGCUGGUAUCAUCUUUAAUUUCUUUCAACUUUGUUCUUUUAAAUGCAUUUAUGAUAGUAAAACAAAGUCCUUUAUUGAUGAAUAUUUAAGUUGAUUAUGAAUCUUUUGCUCUUAUCAAAAAUAGUAAAAUAAUUUGUGCCUAGCUCAUUUCACAUGUAUGUAACUCUACCUGUAGGAUAAAUUCCUAGAAGUGGAAUUUCUGAGUUAAAAUAUUUUUGCAUUUGUAAUUUUGAUACAAAUUGCCAAUUUGCCCUUCAUAGAAUUUUAUUUAAUCAGACACUACCAUAAGUCAUGUAAGAUAAAGCCUACCCCCUUACCAACACUGUCAUCAAACUUCAACAUGAGGUUAAACAUCUUUCCUUUAGAGACAUUUGUAUUUCUUUUUCUGGGAACUGCCUGUUUAUAUCUUUCCCUCUUUGUAUGUUAAGAAAAUUAGCCCUUGCCUACAGAUCAGUUGCAAAUACUUGACCCAUGUGAUUGUCUUUUAACUUUGAUUAUGGUGAUUUUUGCCAUGCGGAAAAAAGUUUUAAUUUAUAUAGUUAAAUUUUAUAGCUUCUGGAUUUCUUAUAUGUUUUGAGAUGGGGAUCAGUUUUUUUUCCCCCAGGUGGCUACCCACUGACCCAACUCAAUUUAUUGAAUAAUCCAUGUUUUCCUCCACUGACUUGAGGUGCUACCUUUAUCACAUAUUCAAUUCCAUAUAUAUUUAGGUUUAUUUUUGGAAUUUCUAUUGUUUCAUUGAAUUAUCUGUCAAGUCAUUUGUUGGUACCAUAGUGUUUUAUUUAUUGCAUGUUCAUAAUGUAUUUUAAUAUGUUAGAGUGCUUAUCUCCUUUCAUUAUCCCUUUCUCAGAAAUUUCCUAGUUAUUCUUACUUGUUCAGUUCAUUUAAAAAAAUAAGCCUGUGAGAUUGUAAAAUUUAUAGAUUAACUUAAGGAGAAUUGACAUCUUUAUCAUGUCGAUUUUCCUUACCCCAGUGUAUGGUAUGUCUUGUUCAAGUAUUCUUAUGUGUCACUCACAAGUAUUUUAAAGUUUUCUUCAUGUAGAUCUUGCACAUUUCUUAUAUUUAUUGCUAGGCAUUUUACCUUCUUUUGGUGGGCAUUGUAAUUGAGUAUAUCUUUCAGUAAAUCUCACUGGUGGUUGUUUGUAUACAUAAAAGCUAUUUUAAUUAUGUACCCAGACAAUGUAUUGAAUUCACUUAUUCUCUGUAUUAGUUUUUCAAUUGAUUAUCUUGGAGUUUCCAGGUGUUCAAUCAUGUCUGCAAAUAUUGCUAAUUUUACCUCCUCCUUUCCAAUUUUUAAACUGUAUUUUCUUUUGUCUGGCUGCAUUGCAUGCAUGUAUGUAUUAGUUUCUUUGUUUUUCUCUUUAAUAAUCCAUUAAUUUCUGCAUUUCUUUCCUUCUGUUUUUGUUUGGUUUACUUGUUAUUUCUCAUACUUUUUCAGUUGGAUGUUAAUUUUCUUCUGAGCACUGUUUUAGGUUUAUUCUGGAGUUCCUGGUGUGUAGAAUUUUCACAAUAGUGAUUUUGUACAUACUCUUGAAAUUUUGGUUUGGAUUUCUUAUUUAAUCCAAGAAUUGUUUGAGAUUUUUUGGGAGGUCCUAUUAUAUAUUUUUUGUUCAUUGCACUUUCAUGAGAGUAUGUUUUCUACAUUAACUUUACUUUUUGAAAUUGAUUGUUUUCUAUAUGGGUUAAUACAUAGCCAAGUUUUGUGAAACUUCACAUUAGAGCUUAAUAUUAUGAAAGAAAACUUAGGUAUAGUUAAUUAUUAGUACACUAUUUACUCGUACACAAGGGAAACCAGUAAUGGAUUAAUUUCAUCUAGCAAAAGCAAAAAUGGGAAUUUGUGUAGUUUGGAAACCAUGGAUUUUGUUUUUUGGGGGUGAGCUGCAGAUUAGCUGGCAGCCAGCAGAGACCCGUUAAAGUCUCUGCUGGCUGGGACCUAAAUUCUGAUUUUAGACACCUUGAUGAGUCAAAAAAAAAAGCAGUGUCAGUUGUCUAAGCCUCUUUGGAAGACUGAGAGUUUUGCUGUUGGCAUAGGUGACAGGCUCUGUCAGUGUCCUUUGUUAUCCUAUCUGUCUUAGUUAUGCCAGGUCUAUACCAUUUCCCUUCUCAGAAUUUCUCAAUAUAUGUCAAUUAAGUAUACCACAAUAUGUUAAGAUUUUCUAUAUCUUAUUUUUUAAAUUACUGACCUCUCAUGGACCAAGAGAGAUGAAUUAUAGUUUCCUAAUACCUAUGUUUUUCUUUUAUUUUUCCUUAUAUCCUCUGUAGAUUUUAUGUAAUAUUGUUGCAAGGUUAUUUGAUCCACAGAUAUUCAUAACUGUUCAUUUUUAUUGUGAAUUGUAACCUUUAGCAUUACAGAGUACCCCCCCCCCUUUCCUGGUCUGGUUUAAUUUGGGACUGAAUCCAGCCAUAUCUAUUACUAAGAUGUUGCUACUUGUUUGUUUCUAGUAUCUCUUUACUCAUCCUUCUAUCUUCAACCCUUCUGAAUCAUUUCAUUUUUGUUGUAGGUCUUUUAUGUAGAACAGAUUUGAGUUUUGCUUUGUGAUUCAGUCUGAAAUUCUUUUUCUCUAAAUAGUUGAAUUUAGCUCAUUUACAUUUGUUAAUUGGAUAUAUAUGGUCUUAGUUGUGUCAUAUUGUUAUAGUUUCUGUAUUUAUACCUUUUAAAGUAUUUUACUAUAUAAACUCCUUGCUUUGUUUUCUGUGUGUAGGUUUCUGUGAGGUUUAUAUUUUCGUUCCCAUAGUUAUUUACGUUUGUAAUACCCCGGUUAUACAAUACCCUCAAUGAUCUAUUUAUUUAGCCAGACUUUCAGUAUCUGUAAUUCUCUUUCCUAAAUGAUGAUAGAUUGGUAAGCUAGACUUCAUUAAAAUUAAAAACUUUUGCUCUGCAAAAGACAGUGUCAUGGGAUUAAGAAGACAAGCCACAGACUGGGAGAAAAUAUUUGCAAAAUACAUCUAAUAAAGGACUAUUCUCCAAAAUAUACAACAACCUGAUUAAAAAAUGGGCUAAAGACCUUAACAGAUACUUCACCAAAGAAGAAUAUACAAAUGUCAAAUAAGCAUAUGAAAAGAUAUUCCACAUCAUUUGUCAUCAGGGAAAUGCAAAUUAAAGCCCACCUGUUAGAAUGACCAAAAUUUGGAACAUUGACACCACCAAAUGCUGGCAAGGUUGUGGAGCAAGAGAGCUCAUUCAUUGCUGGUGGGAAUGCAAAAUGCUACAGCCACUUUGGAAUACAGUUUGGUAGUUUCUUACAAACUAAACAUACUCUUACCCUACGAUCCAGCAGUUUCACUCUUUGGAGCUGAAAACUUAUAUCUACAGUAAAACCUGCACAUGGAUGUUUAUAGCAGCUUUAUUCAUAAUUUCUGAAACUUGGAAGCAACCAGGAUGUCCUUUGGUAGGUGAGUGGAUAAAUAACUUUGAUCCACCCAGACAGCGGAAUAUUAUUCAGCACUAAAACGAGCUACCAAGCCAUGGGAAGACAUGAAGGAAACUUAAAUACGUAUUACUAAGUGAAAGAAGCCAAUCUGAAAAGGCUACAUACUGUAAUGAUCCCAACUGUGUGACAUUCUGGAAAAUGCAAAAGUCCCGAGACAAUAAAAAGAUCAGUGGUUGCCAGUGGGUAGGGGGUGGGGAAUGGCAUGAGGAAGAACGAAUAGGUGGAGCACAGACUUUUAGUAGUGAAAAUACACGAUGGAUAGAUGCCGUUAUACAUUUAUAAUUGUAUGCCAUUGCACCUUUAUACAUUUAUAAUGGUGGUAAUAGAAUGUGCACCAAGAGUGAACCUUAAUGUAGACUAUGGACUUUGGGUGAUUGUGUCUCAGUGUAGGCUCAUCAGCUGUAACAAGUGUCCCACUCUGGUGGGGGAUGUUGGUAAUGGGGGAGGCUGUGCAUGUGUGGGGCAGGGAGAAAUCUCUGCAUCUUCCUUUCAGUUUUGCUGUGAAGCCAAAACUGCUCUUAAAAAAAAAUGUCAUAGAAAAUUUUAAUUUAAAAAAAAGUGGCAGUGGGUUAGGGAUGAGAGGCAUCUUCAUAGGGAGCAGGAGCCUGGUCUGGAUGUUUUCAACUGACUGUACUUAUUAAUUUAAAAAGAAUUUUUUUUUUAAUCUUAGAUUUUAAAAUGAAAGUUGAGUGAUCCCUUAACCAAGAUAAUUUUAAACUGAGUUCCAGACUAUAACCAUUCUAAUACUUCAAGAGAGCUUGUCAUAUCAAGCUAAAUGUAAGCUGCUUGAGGCUAGAGAGGUGGUAAGUCUAUCACUAUGUGCUUGAGAAGGCCAGUUAUUGAUGAAUAUAAACUUAUCACACGGGGCUCAGAAUUACUUCAGUGUACAGCUACCUCCCCUGGUCUGGAAUGCUUGUUGCUCUUUUUCUUAAAUUCAGCCUUAAAGAACAGUGGGUAUUAACUGACUCUCUUGAGGUGCGAGUAAGCGACAGUACACAGAACUAAUUAAAAAAAUACUUCUGAGGGAUAUAAAUUCCUAACCCACAUGUACAAACCUGUUAAAAAAUUUUACUCUUCAAAACAAAUUUUAUCUGCUAAAUUUUAAGUUGAAUUAAGUAGCAAAUGGUGCUUAAAUGAAGACUAUUACUGUUGACCCUCUCACACCUUUGACACCUUUGACCAGUUUCUGCAUCCCUACUUUUGAAAUCAGACUUCAGAUUUUCUGCAGCUUGCAUUGUUUCCUAAUUUAUACGCUGCAAUUCUAACAUUACUAACAACUGAUUUUAUGUUCAAAUGUCCAAAAAGGUGGUGUCAAAUAUACUUUUGUUGGCUUUGGUGCUCAGUAUGGAAUACAUAAUGAAUGGACAAAUGUUCCCCACUACUAUGGUUAUAUUCUCCAUCUGGAUAGCCUUUUCUUAGUAAGUAUAAUUCCAAGUCUGACUUACAUGAUAUGGUUUAAUGAAGCUGCAGAUAUCCAUAUUUAUAUUUAAAACAAAACACCAAAACCAUUUUACCAAAAACUAGUUUUAUUUUAAAAUUAAGUGCAUAGCACUCAUCUAAUUCCAUUGGUGUGGACUUCAGCACCAUACCGCUAUUUGCAAUUAAUGUCAUAACAGAUACAUUUUGGUUUGCAGUCUGUACUUCAGUGUUUAUUUAGUGGACUUUGGUAAAGCCCUUUAUGCAUAUCAUUAAUUUCUUCACAGUACACAUUUAAUGAUGGUCCGGUAAUCUCAAAAAACAAAAAAACCUACUUUAAAGACUAAUCAAUAAAUUAAACAAAACAAAA